rnacentral:rRNA from 1 species
CCUACGGGGGGCAGCAGUGGGGGAUAUUGCACAAUGGGGGAAACCCUGAUGCAGCGACGCCGCGUGUGGGAAGACGGUCCUCUGGAUUGUAAACCACUGUUCCCAGGGACGAAGAUGACGGUACCUGGGGAGGAAGCUCCGGCUAACUACGUCCCAGCAGCCGCGGUAAUACGUAGGGAGCAAGCGUUUGCCGGAAUUACUGGGUGUAAAGGGGGCGUUGGCGGGAUGGCAAGUUGGGGGUUAAAUCUACCGCCUCAACUGGUAGUCGCACUCGAAACUGCUAUGCUUGAGUGAAGUAGAGGCAGGCGGAAUGUCUAGUGUAGCGGUGAAAUGCGUAGAUAUUAGGAGGAACACCAGUGGCGAAGGCGGCCUGCUGGGCUUUUACUGACGCUGAGGCUCGAAAGUGUGGGGAGCAAACAGGAUUAGAUACCCCGGUAGUC